rnacentral:rRNA from 1 species
CUACGUAGGUGGCAAGCGUUAUCCGGAUUUACUGGGUGUAAAGGGCGUGUAGGCGGGAGUGCAAGUCAGAUGUGAAAACUAUGGGCUCAACCCAUAGCCUGCAUUUGAAACUGUACUUCUUGAGUGAUGGAGAGGCAGGCGGAAUUCCCUGUGUAGCGGGGAAAUGCGUAGAUAUAGGGAGGAACACCAGUGGCGAAGGCGGCCUGCUGGACAUUAACUGACGCUGAGGCGCGAAAGCGUGGGGAGCAAACAGGAUUAGAUACCCUGGUAGUCCACGCCCUAAACGAUGAAUACUAGGUGUGGGGGGACUGACCCCCUCCGUGCCGGAGUAAACACAAUAAGUAUUCCACCUGGGGAGUACGACCGCAAGGUUGAAACUCAAAGGAAUUGACGGGG